AGUGAACGCUGGCGGCAGGCCUAACACAUGCAAGUCGAACGGCAGCACAAGAGAGCUUGCUCUCUGGGUGGCGAGUGGCGGACGGGUGAGGAAUGCAUCGGAAUCUGCCCAUUUGUGGGGGAUAACCUCGGGAAACCGGGACUAAUACCGCAUACGACCUACGGGUGAAAGCAGGGGAUCUUCGGACCUUGCGCAGAUGGAUGAGCCGAUGCCGGAUUAGCUAGUUGGAGGGGUAAAGGCCCACCAAGGCGACGAUCCGUAGCUGGUCUGAGAGGAUGAUCAGCCACACUGGGACUGAGACACGGCCCAGACUCCUACGGGAGGCAGCAGUGGGGAAUAUUGGACAAAGGGCGCAAGCCUGAUCCAGCCAUGCCGCGUGUGUGAAGAAGGCCUUCGGGUUGUAAAGCACUUUUGUUGGGAAAGAAAAGCAGCCGGUUAAUACCCGGUUGUCAUGAUGGUACCCAAAGAAUAAGCACCGGCUAACUUCGUG
rnacentral:rRNA from 1 species